rnacentral:rRNA from 1 species
UACGGGGGGUGCAAGCGUUGUUCGGAAUCAUUGGGCGUAAAGAGCGUGUAGGCGGCUGGACAAGUCAGAUGUGAAAGCCCUGGGCUUAACCCAGGAAGUGCAUUUGAAACUGUUCAGCUUGAGUAAGGGAGAGGAAAGUGGAAUUCCUGGUGUAGAGGUGAAAUUCGUAGAUAUCAGGAGGAACACCGGUGGCGAAGGCGACUUUCUGGCCCUAUACUGACGCUGAGACGCGAGAGCGUGGGUAG